ACUUAAAUAGUUUAUAAAAAAUUUUAAUUUGUGGAAUUAAAGAAGUGAGGUUUCACUUUAAGUA
rnacentral:tRNA from 1 species